UCUUCGCCAUUUUACUUUUGGGCAUCAUGACACUCAGUCCAUAAAUGUAGUAUAUUGCAUUUAAAGUUGCACAGUUUUAUAAAUUUUUGUUUAAACGCACACAACAAACAUUCAUUAUUAAGCAACUUGUAUUUAAUCAUUUUGGAUGUCUUGAAAAGAUCUGUUCAGAAUCAUACUCCAACAAAUUAACGCCCAUGAAUCAAUUAAGAAUGAGAAUGAAAAUAAGGCACGGUCUAUUGUUUACACACCUCGUCAAUCACAGAACACAAAACACAAGAAGAGAUGAGUGAUGGCCCUAUUUCGUGAACAGUGAUGAGAUCUCAACUGAAGUAUAAUUGGAAGAUGUAAUCCAUGAAACGAACUGUAAAAUAAGAUCUUAAGCAUCAUGCAGUUACAUUUUCACAACAUAGAUACACUAUUUGUCAAUAAAUUGCAUCUCAACAAGAAUACCGAAGUCUUCGAAAAAAUGAUAGCCAACAGGUAUUAAAUUUUAAGGAUAGUUCAUUUUGAAAUUACAAAGUGAGUGUAGGUGUGAGAAGUGAUUGAUCUAAUUUAUUUAACUGAA